AACCUGGAGAUAGCUGGUUCUCUCCGAAAUAGCUUUAGGGCUAGCCUCAAGUGAUGAUUAUUGGAGGUAGAGCACUGUUUGGACGAGGGGCCCCUCUCGGGUUACCGAAUUCAGACAAACUCCGAAUGCCAAUUAAUUUAACUUGGGAGUCAGAACAUGGGUGAUAAGGUCCGUGUUCGAAAGGGAAACAGCCCAGACCACCAGCUAAGGUCCCAAAAUAUAUGUUAAGUGGAAAAGGAUGUGGCGUUGCCCAGACAACUAGGAUGUUGGCUUAGAAGCAGCCAUCAUUUAAAGAGUGCGUAAUAGCUCACUAGUCGAGUGACACUGCGCCGAAAAUGUACCGGGGCUAAACAUAUUACCGAAGCUGUGGAUUGUCCUUUGGACAAUGGUAGGAGAGCGUUCUAAGGGCGUUGAAGCAUGAUCGUAAGAACAUGUGGAGCGCUUAGAAGUGAGAAUGCCGGUGUGAGUAGCGAAAGACGGGUGAGAAUCCCGUCCACC
rnacentral:rRNA from 1 species